UACGGGGGGAGCAAGCGUUGUUCGGAUUUACUGGGCGUAAAGGGCGCGUAGGCGGCCACUGCAAGUCAGUUGUGAAAUCUCCGGGCUUAACCCGGAAAGGUCAAUCGAUACUGCGGGGCUAGAGUGCAGAAGGGGCAACUGGAAUUCUCGGUGUAGCGGUGAAAUGCGUAGAUAUCGAGAGGAACACCUGCGGCGAAGGCGGGUUGCUGGGCUGACACUGACGCUGAAGCGCGAAAGCUAGGGGAGCGAACGGG
rnacentral:rRNA from 1 species